rnacentral:rRNA from 1 species
CACGUAGGGGGCAAGCGUUGUCCGGAAUUAUUGGGCGUAAAGAGCUCGUAGGCGGCUCGGUAAGUCAGGUGUCAAAUCCUCAGGCUCAACCUGGGGCUCCACCUGAUACUGCUGUGGCUAGAGUCCGGUAGGGGAGCGUGGAAUUCCUGGUGUAGCGGUGAAAUGCGCAGAUAUCAGGAGGAACACCGGUGGCGAAGGCGGUUCUCUGGGCCUGUUCUGACGCUGAGGAGCGAAAGCGUGGGGAGCGAACCGG